CAAGUCGACGGCAGCACGGGGGCAACCCUGGUGGCGAGUGGCGAACGGGUGAGUAAUACAUCGGAACGUGUCCUGUAGUGGGGGAUAGCCCGGCGAAAGCCGGAUUAAUACCGCAUACGCUCUACGGAGGAAAGGGGGGGAUCUUAGGACCUCCCGCUACAGGGGCGGCCGAUGGCAGAUUAGCUAGUUGGUGGGGUAAAGGCCUACCAAGGCGACGAUCUGUAGCUGGUCUGAGAGGACGACCAGCCACACUGGGACUGAGACACGGCCCAGACUCCUACGGGAGGCAGCAGUGGGGAAUUUUGGACAAUGGGGGCAACCCUGAUCCAGCAAUGCCGCGUGUGUGAAGAAGGCCUUCGGGUUGUAAAGCACUUUUGUCCGGAAAGAAAACGCCGUGGUUAAUACCCGUGGCGGAUGACGGUACCGGAAGAAUAAGCACCGGCUAACUACGUGCCAGCAGCCGCGGUAAUACGUAGGGUGCAAGCGUUAAUCGGAAUUACUGGGCGUAAAGCGUGCGCAGGCGGUCCGCUAAGACAGAUGUGAAAUCCCCGGGCUUAACCUGGGAACUGCAUUUGUGACUGGCGGGCUAGAGUAUGGCAGAGGGGGGUAGAAUUCCACGUGUAGCAGUGAAAUGCGUAGAGAUGUGGAGGAAUACCGAUGGCGAAGGCAGCCCCCUGGGCCAAUACUGACGCUCAUGCACGAAAGCGUGGGGAGCAAAC
rnacentral:rRNA from 1 species